GCCAGGCGCGGUGGCACAUGCCUGUAGUCCCAGCUACUCGGGAGGCUGAGGCUGGAGGAUCGCCUGAGCCCAGGAGUUCUGAGCUGUAGUGCGCUAUGCUGAUCAGGUGUCCACACUAUAUUCGGCAUCAAUAUGGUGACCUCCUGGGAGCCGGGGACCACCAGGUUGCCUAAGGAGGGGUGAACCAGCCCAUAUUGGAAAUGGAGCAGGUCAAAACUCCUGUGCUGAUCAGUAGUGGGAUCGUGCCUGUGAAUAGCCACUGUACUCCAGCCUGGGCAACAUAGCCAGACCCUGUCUCU
rnacentral:SRP_RNA from 1 species